ACCCCGCUAUCCCAGGGCGCGCCCCACACGCGCGUGGUCCCAUAGGCCGUGGCCUCUCCAAGUCGCCCUCCGCGGAGAAGCGCGAAGUGGCGGGGCGGGCGGAGAGAGCGGAGAAGCGGGUCUCUCUCUCUCUCGGAAAGUAACACCGGCCCGCCUCGGGCGCCCGGGAGCGCCUCGGUGCCUGCAGUUCCCCGGUGCGGCCACGAGAUGGCUCCAAAGGCCGCGGCUUGGACGGCCAGGGCCGAGGCUCCCGCCAGGAGCUCAGCCGCAGCCCCGCCCCCGAUGACUAGCCCCGCCCCGGGGCCGCUCCUGUGCAGGCCCCGCCUCCGUCCCCGCCCCCCGAGUGGCUCCGGGCCUGUAGUUUCCCGUUCUGAGCCAUGUGUCCCGGCCGGGCGUGCAGCCAUGAUCCUGCCGCGGCUCUCGCUGUCGGCCGAGGUGGCCGUGGGCAGCGCCGUGCUGGGGGCGGCCUUCGUGAGUGGCGUCUUCCUCGGGAGAAGGGUGCUCCGGUGGCUGUCCAACUCCCCGCGGCGGCGGCCGACGCGGCGGCUGCUGCCCCCCGAAGACGACCCGCUGUGGCAGUACGUGCUAAGCCGCUCGGUGCGGGAGCACCCGGCGCUGCGCGGCCUUCGCAAGCUCACCCUGGAGCAGCCGCAGGGCCGCACCAUGAUGCCCUGUGAUCAGGCGCAGCUCCUGGCCAACUUGGCCCGGCUCAUCCGAGCGCAGAAGGUUUUGGAUCUCGGGUCCUUCACAGGCUAUGCCGCCUUGAGUUUGGCCCUGGCGUUGCCCGCCACUGGGCGGGUGGUAGCCUGUGAAAUUGAUGCUGCUCCCCCUGAGCUGGGAAGGCCCUUCUGGAGAGAGGCAGGUGAGGAGCACAAGAUUGACCUUCAAGUGAAGCCAGCUAUGAAGACCCUUGCCUGCGUUCCCCUCCACCCGAGGGGGCCGACUCCACGGACAGGAGCAGCACAAUCAGCUUGGCAGAUAAGACAGGGCCCCCCCCUCCCAAGGCAGCCAGGCAAGGCUGCCAUAGUGUGCUAAGCAGGCUCCCGAGAAGCCAUGACCUAGGGGCAGGAAAGGAUCAGCCUCCCUAGGGCAGCCGCAGCCGCAUCUGUGAAGGCACACUGCUCUUGCAUAUGAGCUGCUGGCUGGUGGGGCAGCCGACACCUUUGACAUGGCGGUCAUCGAUGCUGACAAGGAGAACUGUAGCGCCUAUUAUGA